UGCAGAUUGUACCAAAUCACAGGUCAGUGCGCACGAGCAUGGGAAUGUUUGUAACGAAAUACUUGACACCAAGAAAGGCUCAGAAUUUCCUGUAAAUCACUCAAGUGGGUUCACUGUGAUUCCCACCCUCUCACACCAUGAAGGAAGACUAAAAACAGAAGAGAAAUUUUUAGACUCUGUUACCCCUGGAGACACUGGAAACACUGAGAUCAGUUCUGAUUCAAUGAGUGAUGUUGCACAGAUGUCUCCUGCAGGAACGUCCCGAAUUCAGCAAGAGAAAGAGUUAAUUUUUCAGCCCUCUGAUUGCCAGAUCUCCACCACCACAUCCUCUUUUUCUGCUUCUAUGCUCCAGAAAGGUAUUAAAGAGGAAAAAGAGAUAAGUGUGGAUCAGGCCUCUAAAGAUACACUAGAACCUAACACUCCUAAUUCCACUCCCCAAUCUGAGACAGCCAGCUGGAGGAUGGAGCAGCUUAAUAAGCAUUUGUCAGAGCAAUUCCCAGACGGUACCCAAAACACAGAGGAGCAGGAUACACAGUGUUCUGAACAGCAGCUCAUGCAGUUACAACAUGUAGUAACUUGUUUGGACACUGAAAACACAAUCAGUACUAUGAAAGAAGAAGACACAGUUUCAAAUGGCUUACAACAGCGAGAAGGAAUUCAAGAAGAGAUAAGUAAACAGAUGGCGAAUGAGGAACAGAACAAGGCCACUGAAAAGGAUCACACAGAAAUGUCCAAAGGGGCUGAACCUAAGGCUUCACAGUCUGUAGUGAAAGAAAACAUCUCCAAAGAAAAGUUGGAGGAGCAGUCUUUAUUUUCCCCUGAUGAAGCAAUAGUUGAUAAUGUAGACCAGCAAAUUGAAGAAGUUUCUAAUGGGACACUGACAGAAAUGAAACCGGUUGUGUCAUUGUUAUACCCUGAGACCUCUGUCUGCUUAGUUACUGACCCCCAGGAUUCCCUCCAGUUCCCUCCUGCAGUCAAUCAACAGUCUAGUCAGCAGCCCACAAAGUCUUUUAUCCAAAGUUUACGUCAAAACACCACAAAUACAGUUAAAAGUAGCAGUGAGCCAAGUCCUGACAUAGCAGAUAAUUCUCCUGGAGACAUGGAAUCCCUUCUAAUCAAUAAAGCAAUACAGAAAGAUGACAGUGAAGUUAUUGAAGAUGAAGUCAGCAAGGUGUCAAAAGCUGCAGAUGUGUUGCUGGGUUCAUGCACAGGAACAGUAGAGGUAUCACAGGUUAUCAACAGUUCAGACAGCCAAGUCCUAAGUGAAAUCUUUAUACAUGAGAGGUCAGAUACAGUCAACUCCUCCGAAGGUUCUGAUUGGCUCAGAGCUCUGAAGGAGGCAGCCUCCAUGUCUCAGAUCAUUCCAGAGCACAGAGAUGAGACUACCUGUGGAUCUACAGAAAACAGACCAUUUGAGAUCCACAGUUUGCCUCAGGCUGAACUAGAAUUCCGAACCCCAACUGAAGAAUAUUUUCCCCCUGCACCUGAAGAGAGUUUCCCCCCUGCGCCUGAGGAGAGUUUUCGCCCUUGGCCUGUGGAGAGUUUUCCUCCUGCACCUGAGGAGAGUUUUCCUCCUGCUCCUGUGGAGAGUUUUUCUCCUGCACCUGAGGAGAGUUUUACCCCUGUUACUAAGCAGACAGAAGAACCACUAGACUGCAGGAGCUCAGACUCAGACGGAGCAUUCGAAACCCCUGAGUCCACCACCCCUGUGAAGUCUGCUUCCCCACCAGUGCCCUCAACAGAGCCCCCCUGCACCAAAUCAGAGGGAUUGUCCCCAGAACACACAGGUACGUUUAGAUCUUCAUUCCAUUGCAAUUCACACCACAGAUUGUCUUAUGUGGAG
ensembl:lncRNA